CCCAACUAUCCCUAUUAAUCAUUACAUCGAUCCUAGAAACCAACAAAAUAGAAUCGGAUGUCCUAUUUCAUUAUUCCAUGCUAAUGUAUUCAAGCGUAAGCCUGCUUUAAACACUCUAAUUUUUUCAAGGUAACAGUCCUAAUUCCCCAUAACAUCAAAUGAAUGACAUUAUGGUUCUUUAGAAGGUGAGAACCAAUAAGACCAGUACAUACCAAGGCAUGACCGAUCCCUUGAUCCCGAAGUUCAACUACGAGCUUUUUAACUGCAACAACUUUAAUAUACGCUAUUGGAGCUGGAAUUACCGCGGCUGCUGGCACCAGACUUGCCCUCCAA
rnacentral:misc_RNA from 1 species